CGACACACCCACUGCCUGCAGUGACGGAUGCUUCCAUUUUCAUUUGUAAAAGAUUUCUCUAAAUCGGUUUAAUUUUUCAACAAUCGGUGCUGUCAAAUUGAUAUCAAUGUCAUGAACAGCGUUAUUCCACAGUCGUAAUCACCCCGAAUCAAAUCCGUGUACCAAGAAAGUAUGAUUGCUAACUAUGAUUGAUGCAUGCUCUACUGUGCUGCAGAGUCGCCAGCUGUGGAAUCCAUCUGAAGGUCUAGCGAUCCGUCACCAGGCCACCUUCUGACUUUGUGCUCCAGGGCGCCGCCCACAGCUAACUUUGAGGGCAUUAAAGGCAAGACCCGUUUGCUCCCUUACCGGCCCUUGAUUUUGCAUCUGCCCUUCAUCUCUCCUUCCAUCCUCCCCGGUCCUUGGCAAGGCGUGCAGGGGCUGGGCUUGGUGCCUUCCUUCUACAUGUGGGAGCCUAUCGGACCUUAUUUCUGGCUAUGAUGCAAUUAUGACGAUGGAGGUGAAUUCCCUUGGGAGAUAGAAGGGAAGGCUAUCUUCUCUUCCUUGCUAGAUGUUCAAGGUAGAGGGUUAUGCCUCAAUGCUUCAUUAUUAUUUGGUGAGUGCUGUAGCAAUGAACAAUGAAGGCCUCUGGCACUGCCAAGCAAUGUAUUUACUGUGCUUGCAUAGAAACAUAGAAAAUAGGUGCAGGAGUAGGCCAUUCAGCUCUUCGAGCCUGCACCGCCAUUCAAUAUGAUCAUGCCUGAUCAUCCAACUCAGUAUCCUUAACCUGUUGCGAGAUCGGGAUUUCUGUGUCCAUCAAGUGAUCCUAAGAUCAUCAGAGACCCACACCAUCCUGGUGACACACUCAUCUCACCACUGCCAUCGGGUAGAAGGUACAGGAGCCUGAGAACGGUAACGUCCUGGUUCAGGAACAGCUUCUUCCCUACAACCAUCAGGCUAUCAUAUCUUAUGCUUAUUAAAAAGUCUGAUCAU